AGGUUGACCUCGGAUCAGGUAGGGAUACCCGCUGAACUUAAGCAUAUCAAUAAGCGGAGGAAAAGAAACCAACAGGGAUUGCCUCAGUACGGCGAGUGAGCGGCAAGAGCUCAAAUUUGAAAUCCGGCCCCCCUGGGGGCCUGAGUUGUAAUUUGCAGAGGAUGCUUCGGGCGCGACCGCGGUCCAAGUCCCCUGGAACGGGGCGUCGUAGAGGGUGAGAAUCCCGUCUCCGGCCGGCCGGUCUCGCCCGUGUGAAGCUCCUUCGACGAGUCGAGUUGUUUGGGAAUGCAGCUCCAAAUGGGUGGUAAAUUUCAUCUAAAGCUAAAUACUGGUCGGAGACCGAUAGCGCACAAGUAGAGUGAUCGAAAGAUGAAAAGCACUUUGAAAAGAGAGUUAAACAGCAUGUGAAAUUGUUGAAAGGGAAGCGCUUGCGACCAGAGUCGGCCGCGGGGGUUCAGCGGGCAUUCGUUGCCCGUGCAAUCCCCCGCGGCCGGGCCAGCGUCGGUUUCGACGGCCGGUCAAAGGCCCCCGGAAUGUGUCGCCUCUCGGGGCGUCUUAUAGCCGGGGGUGCAAUGCGGCCAGUCGGGACCGAGGAACGCGCUCCGGCACGGACGCUGGCUUAAUGGUCGUCAGCGACCCG
rnacentral:rRNA from 1 species